UACAAGGCAUACGGCUCAGUAACGCGUAGCCCAUUUAACCUAUGGACGGGAAUAACCUCGGGAAACUGAGAAUAAUGCCCGAUAGAACAUUAUGCCUGGAAUGGUUUAUGUUCCAAAUGAUUUAUCGCCGUAGGAUGGGACUGCGGCCUAUCAGUUUGUUGGUGAGGUAAUGGCCCACCAAGACUAUUACAGGUACGGGCUCUGAGAGGAGUAGCCCGGAGAUGGGUACUGAGACACGGACCCACGCCCUAUGGGGCGCAGCAGGCGAGAAAACUUUGCAAUGUGCGAAAGCACGACAAGGUUAAUCCGAGUGGUUUCUGCUAAAGAAACCUUUUGUCAGUCCUAGAAACACUGAUGAAUAAGGGGUGGGCAAGUUCUGGUGUCACCCGCCGCGGUAAAACCACCACCUCAAGUGGUCAGGAUGAUUAUUGGGCCUAAAGCAUCCGUAGCCGGCUCUGUAAGUUUUCGGUUAAAUCUGUACGCUCAACGUACAGGCUG
rnacentral:rRNA from 1 species